CAGUAGCCGCGGUAAUACGGAGGGUGCAAGCGUUAAUCGGAAUUACUGGGUGUAAAGCGUGCGCAGGCGGUUAUAUAAGACAGGUGUGAAAUCCCCGGGCUCAACCUGGGACCUGCAUUUGUGACUGUAUAGCUAGAGUACGGUAGAGGGGGAUGGAAUUCCGCGUGUAGCAGUGAAAUGCGUAGAUAUGCGGAGGAACACCGAUGGCGAAGGCAAUCCCCUGGACCUGUACUGACGCUCAUGCACGAAAGCGUGGGGAGCAAACAGGAUUAGAUACCCCUGUAGUCCCUGUCUCUUAUAC
rnacentral:rRNA from 1 species